AACUUCCCAAAGACCUCUUAAUUUCAGCCCUUUCUCCCUCUUCUCAUGUAUCCCACACUGAUCCAGCCCUCUAGAUGAGUUUAGGGGCCCUACCAGAUAUAUCACAUAGGAUUGUUUCACUCAAGAUACAAGAGCAGCUCCCUAGUCAUUAAAAAAGAUUCAAUUAAAAUUUUCCAGCCUGCUAUGGAAGGCCCUUAAUCAAGCCCCCACCUUUGCCCAGCUACUCUUCUCCAAAAUGACCUUCCUGGGUUUACAGAACCACUGUACAGACUCUACAGUCUGUCCCCACUGGGUUUAGGACCCCUUUUUCUGUUUGGUUCAUGCUGUUUUCCUAAAAGUAUGUAUUUUGUGCCAUGUUGUCUUACCCAUUGUUAUAAUGUUGCUUUAUUACAGUGCUCUAAAUUUGUGCACAUGCCUUUUUUGCAAACUGGAGAAAGUCGUGACCUUGAUUUCUUCGAAUUUCCCUUAUUGUUGAGGAUGUCAUAUGUUUGCAGUAAGUGCUUGUUAAGACCCUAAAACCAUGGAAUUUAGAUGAAGCUAGUAGGAAUGAAAAAUAAACCUUGGUAUAUAAAAUAUUAGUUAUAGGAUUAUAUUAAUAUAGAAUUAAAGUGCUCUCCAAGAAUUUGGGGGGGGAAAGAUGGAAAACAAGGGGCUAAAUAAAGUCUACACACUUAACAGUAUAAUUUCUGGUAAACUUUCCUCAUCUGGGUAGAAAACUGGAGUAUUUUUUUCUGAAGAAACCAUUUAGAAAAACAUACUUCCAUAUAAAUGGAAAUAUAUUGGGGAAAAUAUAUCUUCAAAAAUUGAUACUUGAAAAAAAAUUGACUUUCGGUAUUCCCCAAUGCAAUUACCAGCUUACCAUGCAACCAUUCCAUGAUAAAAUAUGCUAGUUAUGAAUACCAUCCAUGACGCAGAGCUGAUCAUCCACUCUUGAGUGUCUUAUUCUUAAAUUUUAAUGAACAUAUGAGAAUCAAUAGGUAUUUGAGGAAAGCCUCCAACAUGAAAUAGAAAUAUUUAAGCAAACAAAUAGGAGAAAAACAACUUAGGCAAAUCUUGCCAUAAACAGAAGAACACUUCAGAAACGUCUAUAAUAUUUUCGCAGUAAUAGAAGAAGAUGUUACAGCAUGAAACAAGAACAAGAGUUUUUGAAAUUAAAGAUAGAGUACCAAAAAAAUUUCAAAAAUCAAUAUGCAUUUUUAAAGACAAGUACAAAGAAUUUCUCAAAAGGUAGAGCAAAAGAAGAUAAAGUAGAAAAUAUAAAAGGAAGUUUUGGAAAAUUAGAAGAACAAUCUAAGAAAAAAUAGAAAUUCAGAUGUACUUGUGGAGACCAUGUGACUCUCUUCUUGAGCAAAGGUGCCUUUACCCCCUGGGUGAAGCCUAUGCUGGGUCCAUGGACCACACUGAGUAGCAAGGCUGUAGUCCAGGCCAUCAGUGGAUCUUCCCUAUAUUCACUGUUGAUGACUAAACCAUUGUCAGAGUGAGGCCAUGAGGCAGCAGGGCCAGGUGGGGUGGGGUGCAGAGGAAGGACUGAAUAUUUUCCAUAUCUCUCUGCUUCCAAAUCUGAACUCUUGUCUCCAAAACCUCCUUCCCCUGAUUAUUCUCUUAUUGACACUUCUCUCCUUCUAAUUUCUCAAGCAAGAAACCAGAGCAUCAAUUCCCUUCUCUCUCAUAACUGCCCAAAUAUUCUUUUCUAUAGAUCACUGUCUUCUGCUCUCUCUGCAGCUGCUUUAACCAAGGCCCUCCCCAGGUCACACCUUCUUAGCUGUACUCCAACCUCUUCACUACCUCUGGGUCUGAGACUUGAUUCUGCCAGGAUGCUUAUAAAGUGCAAACAUGACCGUCUUAAUCUCCUGUCUAAAAUACUCUGUAUAAAAAUAAAAUAAGUUCUAAAUUCCUUAAGUGACAUUUCAUCUAACUUCUUUUCCAUUUUAAAAAAUUGAUCGCACUGUUGUUUCCAUGCUUAGCUCUUUUGUAACUAGAAAGCUUUGGAUGUGCCAUUUAUCUCUUCUCUUUCUCUCUUCCUUCCUUCCCUCCUUCUUUUCUUUAUCUCUCUCUUUUGUUUUUGUUUUUUUUUUUGUUUUUGUUUUUUUGCCAUUUCUCUUUCCAAAACUCCCAAUCCCACUAAUUUGCCUGAAGAACUCCUAUACAUCCUGUAAGACUCUACUGGCUCUUAGGAGGCCUGCAUUGCCCUUCCCAGGCAGAGUUAAUUUUGUUCUCUCUUGUUUUUGCUUUUAUUGUUUUGUUUUUGUUCUUGUUUUGGUCCUUACCAAUGUUCUGAUUACUUACCAAGGCAGUGAUACCUUCUUAGCCAGCAGUUCCCUCAUGAAAUUUUUCUGUAUUGGGAUUUACUUUCAUAUACUUUUUUGAUGAUUGCAGAAUUUUCCUUUGUGAAUUGCCAUUCAUGAAUUUCGUUUGCUCAUUGGAUUGGGGAUUAUUAAAAAUGAUGGGAACUGAGGAUUUAAAUAGAAAAAGGAGGUGAAGUGGAUGGUGCAGAAGAAGCAAAAGUUGUACAAAAAUGUCUUGGAAAAUUAAAGGAAGAAGAAGGAGAAGAUAAUUCUUAUUCUUUUUUCUUUCUUUUUGUAAGGAGGGGAGGAGGGAGAGAAGGGAGCCGAUACUUCUGUAAGAAAAGCUGAGAAGCUGGGAGGAAGAAGAGGUAGGAAGGUGAGACCAUGGGGCAGGAUUGGAAGCACAAGUCAACAGGUUGUCAAUUAUUGAUUAGUAAUGCACUACACAUGCAAAUGAAGAAGCAGAAACAUCUGCAAUGAAACAAUACAUGUUUGCAUGCAUGUUGCAGAGCCAAAAAGAGUAAAGGCUGGUAAAAGGAAAACAAGAGUACAAGAAACUUCAUGACAAACUUAAGAUAUAUAAAUGCUAUUGAUGUUAUCCGUAUUCUGAAUUAAUAAUUUUCUUUUAAUGAAUGCCCCCCAAAAAUGUUAUUAUGGCUUUCUUGGGUGUACUCUCACUUUCAGCCCCCUCCCCCAACCUGGAGCAGCUCCCAGAGCAAACCCUCCCUUUUGUUUCCCCAGCUCUGUCUCCAUCUCCAGGAAGAGUCUGUGCCCUUUAGGAUGCCUGCUCUUGGAAAUGCUUGGAUUUAAAUUUAAUCUUGAUUUCCAUUCACCCUCUUGAAAUUCUUCCUUGCUUUCUGGAGCUACCUAGCCUGGUUCUCUGACCUCAGGUUACUUUUGCCUCACAUCCCCAGCUGCAAGUCAAAGUCCCCAGUGCAUGUCCCUGUUCUGGAAUUCUCUUAAAUAAGAGGUAAGAUUAGAUGCAUCUCUGAUUUUCCUGGUACUGGAGAUUUUAGAGUCAAUUGUGGAUUCUUCUAUCAUUUCUUGCUCUAAGAACCCCAAGUUCAAGUGGUGGAAGAGGAAGGAGAGUUAUUAUAUUUAUUUACAGGACAAAAACAGUUUGUAUUUUGUGGACCCUUAUGUGUCAAAGACCAAAUGUGCUAAACAUUUUGUAUAACUUUGGUGCUGUUAUUAUCUUUCUGCUGCUGAAGAAACAGGGUUGCAUGGUCAAAAAGUGAUGGAGCUGGAUUUUGAACCCAGAUGAAUGAGAUUCCCAGCCCAUGUUCUUAGCCUCAAUCUAGUGAUCUUUCCUAGACCUGACUCUGGAGGGAAAAAUCUACAGUGUAUUCCACUUUGUAUUCCUGCCAUUUUGUGGAGUGGGUAAUAGUUCAAGGGCACAUAAAGAAAAUCUCUGGAAUGCAUUCUGUAUUAGGGAGGAAAUGGAGCUUUUCCAGUCAAUGAAAGACAAGAUUUCAGGGGGAAAGUUUACUGGGGGAAAAGGAAGGGGGAGAUUAUUCACCUUCUAAGUCUGAAGGUCAUAGACCCUAAACUUUAAUUUGUCUUUGCUGAAGAAAUUCCACAUAAGCCAGGUAAAAAGAAUGAGUGAUAGCGCUGUGGAAAUAGCAAUUGAUUUUUAAAUUGCUGCCACCGAGUCAUCAUAUGCAGACUGUCUGACAUGUCUAUUGAUCUCAACUAGAGUUGAGCAGGUGUAAAAUUCCCUAACCCAAAGUCAUUCAGCCUUGAAAGAAUAUUUAUUUCUUUUUUCUUUUCUUUCUAACAUGAGGGGCAAUUAGGAAUUGAAUGGUUAGAUUGGAAGCAGAGACAUGAUCUUUACUUUGUUUAAUUAUAAAC
rnacentral:lncRNA from 1 species